CUAAAAACCUAGCCCAAUAAUUAAUUUUUAUAUUAUUCUACUAAUCAAAAUAUUUUAACAAUUAAGUAAAGAAGAUUAAAAAAUUUAUUAGAGCUAUAAACAUGUACCGUGAGGGAAAAGUGAAAUAAUAAUGAAAUAUUUUUAAAGCGUAAAAAAGUAGAGUUAAGACCUCGUACCUUUUGCAUCAUGGUUUAACCAGUAAAAUCAAGCAAAAAGAAUUACAGUUUGAUAUCCCGAAACUAAGUGAGCUACUCUAGGACAGCUAAAUGAGCCAACCCGUCUCUGUUGCAAAAGAGUGGGAAGAUCUUAGAGUAGAGAUGAUAUAUCUAGCGAACUUAGCGAUAGCUGGUUUCUCAGGAAAAGAAUUUUAGUUCAACCUAAAGCUACAAUAAUAUUUAAAAAUAUAAACUUAGCCUUAGAGUAAAUCAAAUAGGUCACAGCCUAUUUGAGACAGGACACAGCCUAAACCUAUGGGUAAUACAACUAACUAUAACCAAGUUGGCCUAAAAGCAGCCACCUUUAGCAAUAGCGUCAAAGCUUAAUUAUUUUGAUUUAAUAAUUCCAAAAAUAAAUUAAAACCCUACCCCGAUACUGAGAAAUUUCAUACACUUAUGAAAGCUAUAAUGUUAAAACUAGUAAUAUGAAAUUUUAAUUUUCUCUUAAAUGCAAAUGUAAGUCAGAACGAAUAAUACACUGACAAUUAACAGCCUAAACUAAAGUGUUAACCUAACAAGAAAACCUCACUAAUUCAUCUGUUAACCUAACACAAGAACAUUAAAAGAAAGACUAAAAGAAAAAGAAGGAACUCGGCAAAUAACCGAUUUCGCCUGUUUACCAAAAACAUCGCCUCCUGAAUAUAAUUAUAAGAGGUCCAGCCUGCCCAGUGACUCUGUUUAACGGCCGCGGUAUCCUAACCGUGCGAAGGUAGCGUAAUCACCUGUUUUUUAAUUAAAGACCUGUAUGAAAGGCAUCACGAGAAUCAAACUGUCUCCUUUCUCAAGUCAAUGAAACUAAUCUCCCUGUGAAAAAGCAGGGAUAUCCCUACAAGACGAGAAGACCCUUUGGAGCUUAAGACAAAUAAAUAUUUGCCUUUUUUCCCCAUUAUAUCACAUAGCACUAUAUUUAUUAAUCUUGGGUUGGGGCAACCGCGGAGAAUAAAUUAACCUCCAAACUGAAUGGAAAUUUCCUAAACAAAAAGCAACAACUUUAUGUAUCAAAAAAUUGACACAAUUUGACCCAAUACACUUUUGACUAAUGAACCAAGUUACCCUAGGGAUAACAGCGCAAUCCACUUCAAGAGUUCAUAUCGAAAAGUGGGCUUACGACCUCGAUGUUGGAUCAAGGUACCCUGGUGGUGCAGCCGCUACCUAAGGCUCGUUUGUUCAACGAUUAAAACCUCACGUGAUCUGAGUUCAGACCGGAGAAAUCCAGGUCAGUUUCUAUCUGUAAAGAGCUCUUUCCAGUACGAAAGGACAUAAAUAGCAUGGCCAAUAUAUUAUACAAGCCAUAUUUAAUAUCUUCUGAACCUUCUUAAAAAUUAUUAUUCUCCUAU
rnacentral:rRNA from 1 species